rnacentral:misc_RNA from 1 species
GGAGCUGAAGCGGUUGGACGGCACGGUGAACUGCUCGUAGAGCGCCAUCUUGUUCCUUGGCGGAGCCCGCGGGCCGCCGCCCUUGCCUGCGUCGCUGACGUGGAGCCGCGGGAACAGCGGACCCAUCACCUUCCCCGGCUCCUCCUUGCCUCCUUGUCCACCGCCUCCCCUCGUCAUGCCCAGGAGCCAGGGGAGCGCGCCGUGUCAAUAUCACGCAGGCAGCUCGUGGCGGCAGCAAGAAGAUCCCGAAUCCUCAGCAGCAGCUUCAGCCACCACGUUUACCCAGUGUCAGGGCCGGCGAUGGGGGAGGCCGGGGUGCAGGCGCACAGCUGCUACCGCGGCCAUGGCGGCCCAACUGAAAGGGAAAUCAAACCGUG